rnacentral:tRNA from 1 species
AUUUAAUUAGUUUAAUUAAAAUUUUGAAUUGUGGGUUCAAGGAUAUAUAGAUAAUAUAUUAAAUU